rnacentral:rRNA from 1 species
UACAGAGGGUGCGAGCGUUGUCCGGAAUCACUGGGCGUAAAGGGUGCGUAGGUGGCUCGUUAAGCGUGUGGUGAAAGCCUGGGGCUCAACCCCAGGUCUGCCGUGCGAACUGGCGAGCUUGAGCAUAGUAGAGGCAGGCGGAAUUCCGGGUGUAGCGGUGGAAUGCGUAGAUAUCCGGAAGAACACCGGUGGCGAAGGCGGCCUGCUGGGCUAUUGCUGACGCUGAGGCGCGACAGCGUGGGGAGCAAACAGG